GACGAACGCUGGCGGCGUGCCUAAUACAUGCAAGUAGAACGCUGAAGAGAGGAGCUUGCUCUUCUUGGAUGAGUUGCGAACGGGUGAGUAACGCGUAGGUAACCUGCCUGGUAGCGGGGGAUAACUAUUGGAAACGAUAGCUGAUACCGCAUAAAAUUGAUUAUUGCAUGAUAAUUAAUUGAAAGAUGCAACUGCAUCACUACCAGAUGGACCUGCGUUGUAUUAGCUAGUUGGUGAGGUAACGGCUCACCAAGGCGACGAUACAUAGCCGACCUGAGAGGGUGAUCGGCCACACUGGGACUGAGACACGGCCCAGACUCCUACGGGAGGCAGCAGUAGGGAAUCUUCGGCAAUGGGGGGAACCCUGACCGAGCAACGCCGCGUGAGUGAAGAAGGGUUUCGGAUCGUAAAGCUCUGUUGUAAGAGAAGAACGGGUGUGAGAGUGGAAAGUUCACACUGUGACGGUAUCUUACCAGAAAGGGACGGCUAACUACGUG
rnacentral:rRNA from 1 species